AUACUUACCUGGCGUCGAGGAAACCGUGAUCAAUGAGGCGGUUCCUCCAGGGCGAGGCUUUUCCAUUGCACUACGGUAAGGCGGACCCUUGCGAUCAUCCCUAAUGUGGAUAAUUCGAUCGUGUAAUUUUUGGUAAUCGGGACUUCGUUCGCGCUUUGCGGG